rnacentral:rRNA from 1 species
UACAGAGGGGGCGAGCGUUGUUCAGAAUUACUGGGCGUAAAGGGCGCGUAGGCGGCCCGCUAAGUCGAACGUGAAAUCCCCAGGCUCAACCUGGGAACUGCGUCCGAUACUGGCAGGCUUGAAUCCGGGAGAGGGAUGUGGAAUUCCAGGUGUAGCGGUGAAAUGCGUAGAUAUCUGGAGGAACACCGGUGGCGAAGGCGGCAUCCUGGACCGGUAUUGACGCUGAGGCGCGAAAGCUAGGGGAGCAAACGGG